UUAAAUUGAAGAGUUUGAUCAUGGCUCAGAUUGAACGCUGGCGGCAGGCCUAACACAUGCAAGUCGAACGGUAACAGGAAGUAGCUUGCUGCUU
rnacentral:rRNA from 6 species